CGUUCAGUCCCCCAAACCUUUCCCACAAUGUUAUUGGAUAAAAACUGCAGGAAUAUCACACAAAUUACAAACUCAAGAUGUGCAAAUUCCAAGGUUCUUUAAAAGUUCAUCUUAAAAAGAAAAACACUGGACAAAAAUGAGUAUUCUCUUCUCCAUCCCUUUCCUCAGUUUCUCUGCCCAUUCUGCAUAUGCCUGUAACUGUUUCUCAGACAUCAAAGUGAAAAGUACCUCCUGUCAGGUAGUACUUGGUCAUUUAUUGUCACACACGAGUUCAUAAUUCACAUUCAUCCCUUUAAACCACAUUGAAACUUUCAAUAUCUUGCUCUUCAGCAAUUCUGCAGAGCUGAAAUGUAGUUACAGUGUUGAAAAAAAAGAAAGCAACUUCGUUUUUUUUUUUCCUCUUCCCAAAGAGUUUAAAAUGAGAUACAGUACUUGUUGAAUGAGAGACCAAGAUGCUUGGUAAUAAAGUGUGAACGGUAUUUUUAAAUGCUUAAAGAUAGUAAUAUAUGCUCAUCUUCACAAUCUAAUUCCUCAUGUCACACUGGAAUCUGAAAAAAAAAAAAAGUGGCGCCCGAGUUGUCCAUAGUCAUGAACUAUAAACAGUACUAGAGUUAAAAGACAAAGAUUUUGCAAACUCAUUGAGAAGAGCUUCCGUUGCUGUCACGGAAGGGCAGUUUGCAUCUACCUCUUGGGAGUGAAGUCAAGGCAGUAACCUGAUAGGUCUUCCUAACACUGCACAGGAACCAGCGUGGGUGUUCACUCUCUCCCCGCCCCACCCCCAAACCCCCUUACCCCACGUGGAGCCAUGACAGCAGGGGCUUCCCUGUCCACGACACCCUGGUGACAUCACUGCACUAGUAAAGCAGAAAUGAAAUCCCGCAUGUGGCAGUUGCUCUUUAAAAAAAAAAAAAAAUAGAUGCAGUCAGGCCCCAUAGGGGGAAAUAUAUAUCUAUACAAUUAAAAGUUGCUUUUACUGUAAAAUAUGUUGGAGAGAAAAAUGUUCUUUUAAAUGGUUAGCUUUCCAAAUCUGCCGUCUGAUGCGUCUCUGCGAUGCCCUGAAGCUGGGUUCCUGCUGUUGAUCUUGUACAUGGGAACCCCAGGAGGACCCUGCUCUGAAUCCCCAGUCCCAUGCUGAUAGCAAGAGAGGGAGGCAGAGAAAAAGAGACCCUCACUGGCCACCACAGCGCCUCUGCACCCCCACAUGCAUGCACCCCUCCUUUAGUGGGCUGGGUGUUCUCCGACAGGAGAGCUCAUUCAGCCAGUACCCUCUGGAUAGGCAGGCACACGAUUAUGGGGAAACACCUGGAGCAUAUGCUGUUUGGUAUCUGUGGCCUGUAUAAUCUCAGUAGACUCCUACAUAUGGGGUUCCUGGGUUUAAAUGUGUAAAUAUGUUUAAUUUGUUAACUGCAAUCUGAAUGCCCUCCACGAGAAUUGUUCUGUUCUGUAUCCCACCAGCCAUGUCCAGGAACGCCUGUUUCUUCAGAGUGGUUACUUUGGGAUUUUUGCCAGUCUAACAGGUGAAGGGUUGGAGAUUCUUCUUAGUGGCUUGGGCUGGGGCCUGGCCAUGUGUAUGUCUUUAAAUUUCCACUGAUGAUUUUGCUGCAUGGCCGGGGUUGAGAAUGACUGCGAAUUUGCCGGAUUUCCUUUGCUGUUCCUGCACGUAGUUUAAAUGCGACUGCCCGUACCACGUAUCAUUCACCAUUUUUCUUUCUGUUACCUGGCCGUCGGCCUUUUCUUUCUGUUCACGUGUACUUGCUGUAUCUUAGCCCAGACCUCCAACUUCCUUUUCACUGGCCCUUUGGGAGGUCACAGGGUCCUGAUGCUGUGCUCUUGGUCUCCAGGUGUCUGCCUUCCAGCAGCAACUGCUGGCCUGGGCUGGGGUGGAAGCCGAACACUGUAGUGGAGUUGCUCACCCAGGCUCUCCUGCUCUGCUUCCCGCUCCCUGCUGCCCAGUAUGACAGCGCUGAUGGCCGGUAGGUGAGCACUGUCAAUUGCUGCUCCUAUGCUGGAAGAUGGGGAAAUGCCCUUCCUGCACUGUGCCUUGCAGCACACCUGCAUCUUCAGCUUUCAGCUCCUCCUGGGGUCUCACCUGGUCACGUGAUCCCUCUAGACAGCAUCCUGCCCCUUGCAUCUGCAGAAGGAUUUCCAAUCAGCCCCUGGAAUUCACGUUCCAGCAGAGAGAGCUGCCUUAGAUUGUCAGUCCCAGUCAGCUCACCCUGCCACAGCCUGGGCUUGGGCAGGAAAGGGUUUUCCAGGGCAGGGGCACUCUGGCACACCCUGAGUAUUUUCAGGUGUUUGAGAAUCUGCACUGGGACACCCACUACAGAGCCGCACAGGAUGAGCAGUGUCAAUCCAGAUGAUUAUGGAGGAAAUGUGAGCUUCCCCAGCCCUCAAUCCUUAGGCUGCUGAAUUUUCUUAAAACCUCCAGGCAUCCCCUGAGGAUGCCACACAUGAGAAAGCUGCUCAUUCCCUUUGGCUCUCUUGCUCUUUGGUUAUAUCCUCUCCUGCCAUAGGCGGGAUGUGAGGACUGGGGGGCAUCUCCCGUGGCAUACCUGGGGCAUGCAGUGCCUGUCAUUGUGGUGCCCAUCAGGACCCCAGAGUGAGGAAAGGAGGACUCAGUGUCUGGGCAAUAGGAAGGCCCCCUGGGACGCUAGUGCUGUGAUGUGUCAGAAAGGCACAGUCAGCAGCAGCACCUGCGUGUGUUUGGUGGGAGGUGGCACCUUCCACCCUGUGGUUUUUGCCCAAGGGAGCCAAGUCCUUCCCACUGGCUGUAGUCAUGUCUUGGGUCUCUCUCUUUAGUUUUGAGCCUCGAGUUAAGACGCCAUUUGUGGGUGGCUGAAGGGUGGCUCCAUGGAGGCUCCCUCUCUUCCUUCCUUAAAUAGACAAGGUGUAUGGCCUCCUCUGUUUGUGUGGUGUGGUUUCUGGAGGGUUAGUCUAUUUCUUCCCAUCCUACAAGUACCUGCACCAGGUCCAUGCCCACUGGGAGAACGGCAGCCUGCUGGGCCGCCUGGCCACCAGAAAGGUGAGUGGCCCAUCAGCCGGCCCUCUCACUCACAAGGACAGUGCCCCUGAGUCCUCUUGGGAGCUCUUGUGCUCAAGUCAGGACAGGCUUCUAGCUCCUCAUCCCCACCACUCCCAGUACCUGACUACAGAGGAUUUCCCCAAAGCCCCAGGUUGCAAGGCUCUCCUGUCCCCUGGCCAGGAAACACAAAGCCACCAGCAGAUCCAAGACCCAGCGCCCUGAACCCAUCUCUGGGAGACGUCCUCUGCCUCCACAUAUUCCAGGACCCAAGAGUGCACACCAGGUGGAGCAGGUGCCACUCUCGUGUUCCAGGUGCAUUCAGGUGCAGGCGUAACUCUGAGGCUUGGGCCUGAGACCUUGGUAGGGAGGUAGCUGGAAAUGUUGAGUGUCAUCUAAGCUUUGGCUCAGUACCUCUGGGGCUAGGUGUCUCUCACCAGGCUGUGGCCAGGAGAGAGGUUGGGUGAUAGGGGCCCUGCUCCUCUCUGUGGCUGGAGGAAAGAUGAGUGAAGGGAUCAACUUCUCUGACAACCUAGGCUGGUAAGUAGUGCUCAUCUUCUUGGCUGUGACAGGCAGCCAGCCCUCCCUCCAGCAGCUGGGCCCCUACCUGCUGUCUGCUGCCAUCAGAGCCCAAAGCCGGGCUGCGACUGCUCAGACCAGCCAGUUGGAGGGAGGGGCUCAGCAGCUCUGGGUUUGGCCCUGGGAGAACAGGUGGAAAAUCGGCCGGCCAUCGCUGUAGCAGGACACAGAUCCAUUGGCAUAGACGGGAUCUGUCAGCUAAACCAGCCCUCUCUGAGUGGUAGGUGCAGAGUUGGGAGGGGCAGAGCUGUGAGCACAGACGAGGAAUUGGCAGAACGGAGCAGCUGGUGAUGUGUGGGUGAUGACCCCAGGCUCCUGUCUCCCCCUAGGUGUGUGGCGAUGGCAGGCAUGCCCUUCCCGAACAUAGGUCUCCAGAGCUGCAGAAGAUGGCCAACUUGGAUCACACCCUUGUGAGUGUCCCCAGUGUUGCAGAGGGUAGGAGGAGAGUGGGUGGUGGGUGGCAGUGGCGUCACUCCUAGCAUUGACACAGCCAGGCCUUCCCUGCUGGGCCAGCAUCUCCUGUCCCCUCUGGAGGUUCAGAUGCCCCUCUACACCUCUUGAUCUUCCCUGUGAUGUCAUCUGGACCCCUGCUGCUUGCGUUGGCCAAUGAAACCACUUGGUCUGGCCCCGAGGCCUGGCAGGGUCUCUUCCCAGGAAGAGCUGCAGGCAGGCCAACAGUCCUCAUGGGUCAUCCCCUUCACCCCCAGCCCAGAGCCCCAGGCCAGGUGUCCCCAGGGAAGGAUCUGGUGGAGAACCUCUGCAAGAAGGCCAUCAACCAGUCCACAGCAAGCCUAGCUGCCUCCAGCUGGCUGGACAGAUGGGGGCUGGAGAAGGGGAGAAGAGGAAAGGGGUUGCCUGCCCUGUCUCCCACCUGAGGCUGAGGAAGGGGAGGGAGAUGCCAUGGAAAUGUGCUGUCAGGAAGGCAGCUGUAACUCAAGAGCUCUAGCCUCCUGUCCCAUGAGGGCAGGGCCAUCGGUCACCAAAGGCAUUCUGCCAGCACAGUGCUCCUGGACCAGUGAUAUGCCCGGCCCGGCCUGGCCAAGCUGCCGGCCUGGAUCCGAGCCUUCAUGGAGGUCACAGCCACCUUUGGUUCUGCCAUUGCUGCCGUGGGGAAGUUCAAUCCUCCAUUUUCCUUUCCCAAGAGCCUCCACCACCCCAAGAUCCCAUUCUCACUGACAUCUCCCUGCCCAGUUCCACUGGGAGAAGUUGGCCUCUUCCUGAUGGGCAGCUGCACCACUGCCUGGUACUGCGCCCUUCCUCUGCCCUGCCUGCUGGAGACUGUGUUUGUGGUGGGCCUGGUCUGCAGGGAUCCUACUACAAAGGUGAAACCCAGGAGUGUGCCAGAACACUGCCAGGACCCAGGCACAGGCAUUAGUGCCCACAGGUGGAAACAGGGAAAAGGGAUCAUGGUCAGCUGAGAUCUUCUGCCCCCACUGCCUACGGACCAACAGGGGCAGGAGGAAAGUCACUGACCUCGAGACGUUUACAUCCUGCACAGCUAGAGGCCCUUUAUUAAAGUGCACUGUUGGUUUCUACUCA